rnacentral:rRNA from 1 species
GACGAACGCUGGCGGCGUGCUUAACACAUGCAAGUCGAACGGAAAGGCCUCUUUCGGGGGGUACUCGAGUGGCGAACGGGUGAGUAACACGUGAGUAACCUGCCCUUGACUUUGGGAUAACUUCAGUAAACUGGGGCUAAUACCGGACAGGAGCUCCUGCUGCAUGGUGGGGGUUGGAAAGUUUCGGCGGCUGGGGAUGGACUCGCGGCGUAUCAGCUUGUUGGUGGGGUAUUGGCUUACCAAGGGCUUGACGGGUAGCCGGCCUGAGAGGGUGACCGGCCACAUUGGGACUGAGAUACGGCCCAGACUCCUACGGGAGGCAGCAGUGGGGAAUAUUGCACAAUGGGUGGAAGCCUGAUGCAGCAACGCCGUGUGCGGGAUGACGGCCUUCGGGUUGUAAACCGCAUUCGCUCAUGACGAAGCUUUGUGUGACGGUAGUGGGUAAAGAAGCACCGGCUAACUACGUG